rnacentral:rRNA from 1 species
UGCAUAUCAAUAAGCGGAGGAAAAGAAACCAACAGGGAUUGCCUCAGUAGCGGCGAGUGAAGCGGCAAGAGCUCAGAUUUGAAAUCUCACCUAGUGUGCGAGUUGUAAAUUGCAGGUUGGAGUCUCGGGUUAGACGUGUGUGCAAGUCCCUUGGAACAGGGUGCCACUGAGGGUGAGAGCCCCGUAGCGUGCAUGUCGACACCUGUGAGGCCCUUCUGACGAGUCGAGUUGUUUGGGAAUGCAGCUCUAAGUGGGUGGUAAAUUCCAUCUAAGGCUAAAUAUUGGCGAGAGACCGAUAGCGAACAAGUACUGUGAAGGAAAGAUGAAAAGCACUUUGAAAAGAGAGUGAAACAGCACGUGAAAUUGUUGAAAGGGAAGGGUAUUGGGCUCGACAUGGGAUUUACGCAUCGUUGCCUCUCGUGGGCGGCGCUCUGGGUUUUUCCUGGGCCAGCAUCGGUUUUCGUUGCAGGAUAAGGACAAUUGGAAUGUGGCUCCUCGGAGUGUUAUAGCCUUUUGUAGAUGCUGCGUAUGGGGACCGAGGGCUGCGGCGGACUCGUUUCGUCUCGGAUGCUGGCACAACGGCGCAAUACCGCCCGUCUUGAACCACGGACCA